GAAGAAAAAACAGCAGUCUAAAGGAGGUCAUGGUAAUUUACAAACUGAAUAGAUAAUCUAGAGUUGGUUGUAGCCACACAAUAGUGAAAGGACAAUUGAACUCGGCAUGGGCUUGACAGUUCACAGAGAAAGAAAAAUAUACCAGAUGAAUAAGGACCACAGUGGCCACAAAGUAAGCUGGUCUGGCCUGUGGUACGAACUCGAGGCUUCUCUAGCUGUGAUUUGUUGCCUAUGGUACUCAGCCUGUAAUGCAGCCCUUUACAAAAAAGAGUCAACAAUUUAAAUGAAGAAUCCACAAUCUGAAUUCUCCAAGAAACCCAGCAUCAACUCCUUAGGGUGCCCUGGGGAACCAGCAAGCAACAUCAACUUCUGUGGUUAUUAGCCUAAACAUCAAUAAAUCUUUGCUUAUUAGAAUAUUAGUACCUUA